CCUACGGGUGGCAGCAGUGGGGAAUAUUGGGCAAUGGGCGCAAGCCUGACCCAGCAACGCCGCGUGAAGGAAGAAGGCUCUCGGGUUGUAAACUUCUUUUAUCAGGGACGAAGCAAGUGACGGUACCUGAUGAAUAAGCCACGGCUAACUACGUGCAAGCAGCCGCGGAAAUACGUAGGUGGCAAGCGUUAUCCGGAUUUACUGGGUGUAAGGGGCGUGUAGGCGGGAAAGCAAGUCAGAUGUGAAAGCCAUGGGCUCAACCUGUGGCCUGCAUUUGAAACUGUUUUGCUUGAGUACUGGAGAGGCAGACGGAAUUCCUGGUGUAGCGGUGAAAUGCAUAGAUAUUAGGAGGAACACCAGUGGCGAAGGCGGUCUGCUGGACAGCAACUGACGCUGAGGCGCGAAAGCGUGGGGAGCAAACAGGAUUAGAUACCCCGGUAGUC
rnacentral:rRNA from 1 species